CUCGCCCAAAAUGGCGGCGCCGGCCUGAGGGGCGCUCGGCUCCCUCACGGGGCAGGCCCGCGGUGCUGUGUUCUGUCACAGCGGCGGCGUGAGCCGUCGAGGGGAGUAACAACAACGAUUUCUAAGGAAGUUACAACAGAGACUGAAACAGUCCAACAAAUGGCAAACGCGUAGUCAAGCCCCAGUAAAUGCUUAUACAUAAACAUGACGUAGUAGAUUAUUUCUAUUAAAUUAAAUUAUCAGGAGAUAUUAUAUGCUUAUUAUCCCAUAGCAACGCGGUUUGGGACCAGGUCACCUUUAAUGUCCAUAUGUUUCUAUGAUCUACUGGGGAAAAGCUUUUAAUGACGCUAAAAGAUCAUUUAAAUUGACAGCAAAAUGAACACGGUCAGGCCCAAAAGUGACACAAGAUGGCGCCCAGAACCACAGGCAGAGCCAACCUGAGCAACACCCUGACUCCCAGGUGGUGAGGUCCAAAUUGAUCUAAAAGUGAAUAAAGUUCCUGUGUGGCUGACAGACCUUCCACUCAAGCAUGGCUAUAUUGCAUUUUCUUAUAUUGAGGUAAAGCAGAAAAGCAAUGGAGCAGCAAGAGCUGGCUGCCCCAUAGAGGGCAGGAACCAAGCAUAAUAACACAGGUGGUGGGCCAGAGCCUCACUGCCCAAGCCCAGUCCCACAGAGCCUGAGCAAGGCAAGCAGGGAACCCUGGAUUCAGACAGGAGUACAGAGCAUCAGGCAAGUAACAAGGCAGGUCCAAGGUCAAGCUGUGAAGGCAGUCCACAGGCCAGGGAGUGAGCCAGUGAGAACCAGGGUCAGACAUCCAGACAUCACUAGCAAUUGCCAUGAAGGUCCACACUGAUAAGAAAAGACUGAGGUCAAGCUAGGAAGUCAGUCUGUGACUCCAGAUAAACAUGGUGUGGCACAGUCGUGGCUGAGCUGUGGACACACACGGAUACAGGUCAGGCAUGAGCUGAAUGCAGAGGGCUUGGCUAAAGUGGGGCUCCUGAGCCCAUGGGAGGGGUCAGGUGAAGAUUGUUGGGGCUAUUAAGGCCUGUUAGGAUGUUUAGGAUCCUGACAAACUACUUAGGAUAAGUGAGAGUUGACAAGAGGAAUCAGAAGGGUUAGUGGUAAUCUUUAAAUCAAACAAAGUUUUCACAAGUCAGUAUUAAUAGCAUGUCUUUCCUAGGCUUAGAUUUUGGCCCAAAUAGAAAAGUAAAGGUAGAAUAUCUGAGAUGAUUACAAAACCAAAAUUAGCUGGCCUUCCACAUGGAAGGCAGAAGCUGAAGGACAGAAUGCAUCUCACAUCCUUUUGGGUGGAUCUUAUGUUUAUAUUUGGCAGAGUUGUAGUAGGUUCUCACUGAUAAGUAAUCAAGGAGUGAGAAUCUAAUAACAGAGUCAUUUCUGUCAAGAUAGCAUUUGCCUUCCACUUGGUAGGACACUGAUUUGUGAUUCAUCUAAAACAUCACAUUCUGGAUCUUUUCCUUCUUAAUCCUAACUCUAAACCAAACUUUUGGCUAGAGAACUAGGAUCCUUACAGACUACAUAUAUGUUGGGAUUCCAAGGAGAAAACUCAUGUGAAUUUUUAUCAGUGAGUGCAUGAAUGCACAGAGUUUCUGCAGCUUGUAGCAGUUUUACUUAUUAGAUGUAGUUACAGGGAAUUUUGUAGUAUCCUGUUGUGGUGCAUUAAGUUGUUUCUAUCAGUUUCUUAUAAUUCAGUGUGAGUCCAGAACAUUAGUUUGCUUCAAUUCAUAUGCUUUAUUUUAUGUUUUAUGAAUCUUUAGUUUGUAUUUUAGAACUUUAGUUUCUUCUGAAAAUAAGGCUAUAAUCUUCUGAUUCCCUUUUUUUUUUUUUUUCUUGGGUGGUUGUUUUAUCUGCACUGCUGUCUUUCUUUGAACUUUUUUCUUGGAGACACCAGUUUUCUUAUAGGGUGUAGCACAUUCAUUUGGGAACAUGCAAGAAACUUUUUUAUAGGAUUGAAUUUUUGUAUUUUAUUUUUUCUCAUUUUAAAUUGAAAUAGUAUAUUUGCUUGGUUUGGCUACAUUGACCACAUGAAGAACAGCUAUUCAGUGAGCUGAAUGGUGAUCUUUAUCACUUUUGACUUACUUUGUUUACUUUGAAUUUCUGGGACCUUAAAUUACCUUAAUCUUAAAUUCUCAGUUCCUGAAAUUCAGCUUCUACCGUUUGUUUUUUGGCAGCAGCUGCAUCUGAAUUAGGCUUCAGGCAAUCAUGUUAUCCAGCUUCUUUGAAUACCAUCCAUACUUUGUUCUUAGUUGUAGAAAUAUUUAUCAUCUUUCCAACAAACUUUUUGAUAUUUACAAAUGGAAUAGCUAUUUCAUACUCUCAACCAUCCACAGUAAACAUCUGGCAAAGGAAGAAUUACACACUAGAACCCUUUGUCAAAGUGCCUAUAAGGAACUGAGUCUUUUAUGGAGAAGGGCCUUGGUAUUUUAGACAGAACUCUUCACUACACUGAUGCUCCUUUUUCAUUACUUACCUCUGAAUGUACACCUCAUGGCUGCAUUAUUCAUUAUUUACCUCUGAAUAAUACCUUGUUCAUUAUUUACCCUCAUGGUUGCAUUGUCUGUGGUAAAACAAUUCCGGCCAGAAAGAGAUAAAAUCUUUGAUUUACAUUCUCCUUUUCAGCCAGUUACAAAGUGGCUUCGAAGUUGAGCAAGAACUGACAAAACAUACUGAAAGGAUAUGGCAGAGGUGCCUGGUAACUGACUAUUCCUCUCUGGGGCAUUUAUUCAAACUGAGAACAAAUACAAUUUAUGCAGAAGCAAUGCAGAUAUUGAUCUCACAGCUCCAGUGAUAUGACCCAGCAUUGUACUGGCCUUGGAGGAAACAGAACUUUCUUGCAGAAUUUCUGUCAAACCAGAUUACAGUUAUAAAUUGCAUUUCAACAAAACCA